rnacentral:tRNA from 1 species
GCGGGCGUCGUAUAAUGGCUCAUUAUAUCAGCCUUCCAAGCUGAGGACGUGGGUUCGAUUCCCAUCGCCCGCUCAA